AGUGAACGCUGGCGGCAGGCCUAAUACAUGCAAGUCGAACGGCAGCACAGCAGAGCUUGCUCUGUGGGUGGCGAGUGGCGGACGGGUGAGGAAUACAUGGGAAUCUGCCCAGUCGUGGGGGAUAACGUAUGGAAACGUACGCUAAUACCGCAUGCGCCCUACGGGGGAAAGUCGGGGACCGCAAGGCCUGACGCGAUUGGAUGAGCCCAUGUUCGAUUAGCUAGUUGGCGGGGUAAAGGCCCACCAAGGCGACGAUCGAUAGCUGGUCUGAGAGGAUGAUCAGACCACACUGGAACUGAGACACGGUCCAGACUCCUACGGGGGGCAGCAGUAGGGAAUAUUGGACAAUGGGGGCAACCCUGAUCCAGCCAUGCCGCGUGAGUGAAGAAGGCCCUCGGGUUGUAAAGCUCUUUUGUCCGGAAAGAAAAGCAAUCGGUUAAUACCCGGUUGUUCUGACGGUACCGGAAGAAUAAGCACCGGCUAACUUCGUGCCAGCAG
rnacentral:rRNA from 1 species